UAAAAUGGCAGAAUAGUGCAUUGGACUUAAACCCCAAAUAUAAAGAAAAAUUCUUUUUUUAGAA
rnacentral:tRNA from 1 species